UACGAAGGGGGCUAGCGUUGUUCGGAAUCACUGGGCGUAAAGGGCGCGUAGGCGGCUUUAUAAGUCGGGGGUGAAAGCCUGUGGCUCAACCACAGAAUUGCCUUCGAUACUGUAGAGCUUGAGACCGGAAGAGGUAAGUGGAACUGACGAGUGUAGAGGUAGAAAUUCGUAGAUAUUCGCAAGAACACCAGUGGCGAAGGCGGCUUACUGGUCCGGUUC
rnacentral:rRNA from 1 species